rnacentral:rRNA from 1 species
UACGGAGGAUGCAAGCGUUAUCCGGAUUGAUUGGGCGUAAAGCGUCUGUAGGUGGUUACGCUAGUCGGCUGUUAAAGAUCAGGGCUGAACCCUGAGCAAGCAGUCGGAAACUGCGUGGCUGGGAGUACGGUAGGGGCAGAGGGAAUUCCCGGUGUAGCGGUGGAAAUGGCGUAGAGUAUCGGGAAAGAACACCCAAAGGCGAAAGCGCUCUGCAUGGGCC